rnacentral:rRNA from 1 species
CGGCGAACGGGUGAGUAACACGUGGGUAAUCAACCCUCGAUACUGGGAUAGCCCGGGGAAACCCGGAUUAAUACCGGAUGGCCCUUUGGAUCCUCGGAUCUGAAGGAAAAGGUAGCUUCGGCCUCCGAUCGAGGACGAGCCCGCGGCGGAUUAGCUUGUUGGUGAGGUAACGGCCGACCAAGGCGACGAUCCGUAGCUGGUCUGAGAGGACGAUCAGCCACACUGGGACUGAGACACGGCCCAG